GUAUGAUAUCAAAUAUACGGAGAAUCCAUGGACAAGACCAUACUCAAAAAUCUAAAAAAGAGGUUGACCGAUGCGAAAGGUAAAUGGAAGGAAAUCUUACCCAAAGUUGUCACACCUCCUUUUUUCUACACCUUGGGAGUGGUAUAAAUAAGUUUUUCUAAUUUAAGUGACAAUCAAAACGGAAUUAUUUAAUUAAAAUUCAAAGUCACCACUUGGAUAGUUUAUGGUGUCCCAAGUCACAGGUUUUAAAUCAAAUCGAGGAAAGAUUAACUCUGUUUUACAGUCUGCGAACACAGAAAUUCAGGUAAGGAAUUCUGCUAAUCCGGAAAAAGGUGUUAGGCAUUCCCGGGUUCCGUAGUUCUAGCACGGUCGCUCAACUGUUAUUAUUGGCCUAUUUUUUAGCCUAUGGAGCAAUUUUAAACUUUAUAACCACUUUUAUUUAA
rnacentral:lncRNA from 1 species